AAACAAAAGUCUCGCCGCUUCUCUCUUCCAACACUUAGACAAAUUUCAUUCUCAAUCUUUCCUUCCUAUGGUGAACACCGAAAAACUCUGGACCUCUAACACCUUCUGCUUCCGCAAAAUGCUCCUCUAAAGCACCAUUGACGAGUGCCAAUCUUCAGGUCAAGCUCGCCGAAGAAGCGAAGUCAGAACACUUCCAAGCUCCCUCCUCGUUCCGCGACUUUAGUUUAGACUUUUCUCCGACCCCCUUUUCAGCUAAUUGUGCGUGGGGAAGAUAAUACUCUUGGCCAAAUCGCAUCCGAAACACUUGCGAUCUGGAGUAUUAACAGUGUUAGGGAUGGUCAGAACCGGCUUUCUUUGAGGAGCUAUGAAAUGCGAACAUAUUUUGACUGCAUUAAUUUGGUUGGAUGAAAGAAAAAAAGGAGAGGAGGUCUUCGGCUGAACGGAAAAAGGGAGGAGGUUUGGAGAAAGGAAAAAGAAAACAGAGCAAAAAGAGAGAGAGAGAGCCAGAGAGUAGACGGAAGAAAAAUUGAAAAAAGAGGGGUGGAAAAAGGGAAGAGCUUCGACAAGAAAACAGAGCAAAGGAAAACCAAGAAUCGAAGGAAUCAGCAAGGAGUUGCUGUUGCCGCUGCUGCCACCAGAAUCCACCACCACCACCUGCAAGUCCUCACCGCAAAAGCUUGGACAUGGAUAAAACUUGGAUGAAGAUUAGCAAUAGGAAGGACAAGGCUUAUGAACUCGGAGUCAAAAAUUUCCUCAAGUUUGCAUAUUCUCAAAAAGUUGACACUCAGAAAAUCCCAUGCCCAUGUACACAAUGCAAUAAUUUUUGUAACCAAACUAAAACAGUUGUGGAGGAUCACUUAUUGACUCAAGGCAUUCGUAAAAGCUACACAAGAUGGAUACACCAUGGGGAACAAUUUCGACACCAAAAUUGUGGGGAUAGUACUAAACAUGGGGAUGGAGAGGAGGAUAGUGAUACUGAAGAUUUAAAUGACAUGUUGCACGACAUUGGGACAGCACAAUGGGGGGACAAUUGGGCUGGUAGGGAAGAAUCAACGGAUGAUAGUCUAAAUGCGAAUCAUAGUGACACAAAUAACUUUCUUAAAUUGUUAGAAGAUGCAAAAAAGGAGCUGUAUCCAGGGAAUCAUUUUUACUCAAAGCUAUCCUUUGUAGUCACUUUGCUCCAUUUGAAAACAAUGAGCGGGUGGACCAUAAAGUCCUUCAAUGCAUUGCUGGAAAUUUUUAGCCAUGCACUACCUCCUGAAGCCACAGUUCCCAAGUCUUUUGCUGAUGCUAAGAAGCUCAUUCGAGACUUAGGUUUUAAAUCUGAAAAAAUCCAUGCUUGUGUCAAUGAUUGUGUUCUCUUCCGCAAGGAAAAUGAAAAUUUUGACACUUGUCCAAAUCUAAAUUGUAAAGAACCUCGCUACAAGAUGGCAGGUUCAAGAGUUCCACGCAAAGUUUUGCGUUACUUUCCUUUGAAGCCUAGGCUGCAACGAUUAUAUACCCACAAAGAAAUAGCUUCAGAUAUGAGAUGGCAUAAAGAAAAGUGUGUGCAUGAUGAUAACAUCAUGCGGCAUCCAGCAGACAGUGAAGCAUGGAAAGACUUUGAUAGGUUGCAUCCGGACUUCGCCGUUGAUCCUAGAAAUGUGAGGUUAGGUCUUGCAACUGAUGGUUUCAAUCCUUUUGGGACCAUGAGUAGUGCUUAUAGCAUCUGGCCUAUUUAUCUAGUGCCAUACAAUCUGCCCCCUUGGAAGUGUAUGAGAGAUCCUUUCUUUUUCCUAUCAAUGCUAAUUCCUGGGCCUAAAUCCCCGGGAAAUGAGAUUGAUGUUUACAUGGAGCCUCUAAUAGAUGAACUGAAUGAAAUGUGGCUUGGUGUUGAAACAUAUGAUGCAUAUAGUGGCAAGAAAUUUGACCUCCGGGCACCUUUACUAUGGACUAUAAAUGAUUUUCCAGCUUAUGCAAUGCUGUCCGGAUGGAGUACGAAAGGGUAUCAAGCAUGUCCUAUUUGCAUGGUUGAGACAACUUGCGUACAUUUACCACAUCGAAAAAAGUUGUGUUACACAGGUCAUCGCCGCUUCUUACCCAUUGACCAUUCUUGGCGGCGAGAAAAAAAACCUUUCGAUGGCAAUGUGGACUUUAGGAAUCCUGUUGCACCUUUAUCUGGAAAUGAAAUUUUGGAUCAGGUACAAAAUAUGGAGGUAAAUUUUGGGAAGACCAAGGCGCAAUCCAAUGCAAAGAAACGCAAGCGUUCUGAGAGUGGUUUGAACUGGACAAAGAAAAGUUGUUUCUUUGAGUUACCAUAUUGGGCAGACCUCCUUCUUAGGCAUAAUUUGGAUUUAAUGCAUGUGUCAAAAAAUGUCUCAGAGGCUGUCAUUGCCACAAUUAUGGAUAUUGAAAACAAAACCAAAGACCACUGGUUGUGUCGUCAAGAUUUGAAGGAUUUGGGUUUGAAAAAAGAGCUACAUUUGAUUCCAAAUGGCGACUCUUAUAUCAUGCCACAUGCCUGUUACAGCCUAACCAAGGAGGAGAAAAAAAAAAGUAUGUGAGUUCUUGAAUUCUGUCAAAUAUCCAGAUGGGUUUGCCUCAAACAUUUGCCGAUGUAUAAAAAAUGGCCAGUUUCAAAUUUCUGGAAUGAAAAGUCAUGACUUCCACAUUUUUAUACAAAGGCUACUCCCACUUGCAAUCCGUGGAAGUUUAACAAAAGAAGUUCGGCAAGUGCUAUUCGAGUUAAGUGAAUUCUUCAAAAAAUUAUGUGCUAGAACAUUACAUAGAGAGGUUCUGGAGGAGUUAGGCCAAAAAAUUGCAGUCAUCUUAUGUAAAUUAGAGAGGUUGUUCCCUCCAGCUUUCUUCGAUAUAAUGAUGCACUUGAUGGUUCACUUGCCUGCUGAAGCUAUCCUUGGCGGUCCAGCUCAAUAUCGUUGGAUGUUCCCAUUUGAGAGACAUAUGGCAGUGCUGAAAAGUUAUGUUGGGAAUAAGGCCCGGCCAGAGGGAUGCAUUGCUGAGCGGUACAUAGAUAAAGAAUGCUUGACAUUCUGCUCUAUGUACCUAGACAAUAUUGAUACGAUAUUCAACAAGCCUGAACGAAACAAUGAUAGGGGAUAUAAUACUGGUGAAUUGUCCAUUUUUUCAUGCCCUGGUCGUCCAUUUGGAGGUCCCAAAAGGGGCAAUUUCCUUGACUCAGAGCUGGAAAAAAUUCAUACAUUUAUAUUGAACAAUUGUGAUGAGCUUGAGGACUAUAUAAAUGCGCAUAAAAUGGAGUUGGAGGCAGAGAGUGCUGAAAAUGUGGACCAAAGGCAUGAUAGAGAAUUUGCAAAAUGGGUUCAACAACGUGUUAUGUAUGGCAGCGAGACUUCCAAUGGUGAGCUUAGAGCAUUAGCAUUUGGGCUAGACAACCGAGUUUGUAUGUAUACGGGUUGCAUGGUUAAUGGGUAUAGGUUUCACACGGAAAAUCGGGAAAGGCAAAGAAAGACUCAAAACAGUGGUAUUGUAGUUAGAGGUGAGCAUGGUAACAAAAUGAUCGAUUUUUAUGGUGUGAUACAACAAAUUAUUGAAGUAAGAUACUGGCUCGGGAAAAAAAAGGUUAUAGUAUUCAAGUGUGACUGGUGGAAGACCGAUGAUAGUGCUGGGAUGCAAGUGGACAAAGAAUGGGGUAUCACAAGUGUCAAUUCGUCUAGAAAAUGGUAUGAAGACCAACCAUAUGUCCUCCCUCAACAUGUCCAACAAGUCUUUUAUCUUGAAGACUUGAAACUAGGCAAAAACUGGUUUGUCGUCGAGAGGUUCAGUCCAAGGCACUUGUAUGAUGUUCCUGAAAAUUUAGAAAAAGAACCAAUGGUCGAGGAAAUAUAUCAAGAAGAAGCAAAUGGGGAUUUCACUAUUAUAAUAGACCUCGACAAUCCACCAUUACUUUCGAGAGAAGACAAUGAGAUACCGAAGGCUGUACCUUCAUCCAUUGUACAUGCUGAGAAGUCAAAAAAUAGCUCAAAUGGCACCUUUGAAGACUUCAUUAAUGAUGAUGAUGAAGUGAAUGAACAUGAGUCUAACAAUGAGGAAGACGAAGAGGAGAUUCUUAGUGAUAAUGACAUCGAUUCGGAAUAGAUGGCUGGACCAGGAAAGCGAGGCCAAAUGCUGCAGAGAAAAGCUCAAGGUGCACAACAGCCUGCAAUACCUAAUUCAAUUGGAAGCAAUCAACCAAGAAGUGCAUCCAAGAGUGUAUCCUCAGAGGAUGUAAUAUAUGUCACUCCAGCUUCUUCACCUAGAGAAAUUGCUAGUGAGAGUAGGAUGAUACACCCUCAGACAUCUGAGUCUCGUGCAUCCGGAGAAAAUGAGUCAAAUCCAGUUUCGGAUGAGGAAGAAAAUGCUAUGCUGCUGUCAGCAAGAAGAAGAGGACGUACACGAAAUCUAUCAUUAUCAAAAAAAAGGGAGGCUAAUGAGACGCUCACCAUUGAAAUUGAUGAUUGUAUUCGGCGGAUUGUUGGGAAGGAUUCUCAAUACUUCAUCACAGAAGGGGGUUGUGUUGUUAGGAAGGCUGCUAGGCUUAAUGUUCCAAAGUGGUCCCAUCUCAAUCCCGGUGACCGAGAAGGCAUAUACAGCACGGUUACAGUAUUUGUUGUCCUGCAAUAGACAUGUCUAAUUUCAUCCAGAAAGUAAGAGAGAUUUUACUGCUUUAGAUUUGCUUGGUUUUAAGUAGAUUGCACUGUUAUUGUAGGAUGACUUUCGAUUUUCAGAGCACAUCACCUCAAAAACUGCUAUUAAUAGGCAGUUAAACACACAAUAUCGAAAUCAUCGAUAUAGGCUUCACAAGUAUUUCCAGAGUUUUGAAUCAAGGCAAGAAGCAUUGAGGCAAGUUCCUGAAGGUGUGAGUGAAGAAGAUUGGAAGUGGCUGGUCAGCUACUUUGAAAAUGAUGAAUUUAAGAAAAUUAGUGAACGUAACAAGCAAAAUCGUGCCAAAAAUGACUGCUACACUACUGUUGGCACAAAAUCGCUUGCAAGAGUUGUUGAGGAAAAGAAAAGGAAAGAAGAUGUCGAGCUUUCAGAGAUAGACAUGUUUGAGUUAAGUCGAAAGUCAAAGAAGUCAGGGGGGCUGGUAAAUGACAAAGCAAAAGAGACCUUGGACAAAAUGAGGGAAUUGCAGGCUACAACUUCAAUGACUAGCAAGGAAAUAUGCGAGCAAGAACUUGGUUACGUACCUGGACACAUCCGCGGUCGUAGUGCAACCAAGAAGCAAGCUGCUGAGGUAGAACGCUGGAGGCAUGAGAUUGAGGACAGCCGAAAAAGAGCAGAUGAAGCAGAAAAACGAGCUGCAGAAGUAACUCAACAAUUCACUGCUCAGCAAGAGUUGAUUAAGACCUUGCAACAGCAACAAACAGAAACAAGAAGCCUAUAUGAUGAGUUAGCUAACCAGCUGAAAGACUUGCGCAAAUAAGCAACUUUUGUGUCAGGUUCUAACACGAUUCCCAAGAAGAAGAAGCCAGUCAUUGCUGUGAAGAUGGUUUUUGAAUUGAAGACUACAAGGCCUAUCGUGCUCAUGUUUUGUUCUAGAUGGGAAUCGUGCUCAUAUUUUUGUAUAGAACUUUACUACUCUCUAUUGUGGAUGGGAAAUCACUAGUAUUGUAACUGAAUGGCUUAUUUUGGAUGGUGCAUGGUUUAUGACUCAUUUGAGGCAACAUUUAUAUAUAUAUGUAUUUCGGUUGAUCUUCUAUUGGAAAUGAAUGUUGGUUUUCUUUU